rnacentral:lncRNA from 1 species
GAUCCCCACCGCCGCUGCCACCGGGAUCACCACCUGCGCCGCCAGCUCCGGCAGUAUCGCCGCCGCCGCCAUCUCCGCAGCUAAGCUCCCCCCCUCUCCUCACAAUUCGCGCCUCGGAUCGCAGAGAGAGAGAGAGAGAGAGAGAGAGAGAGAGAGAGAGAGAGAGAGAGAGGAGGUGGAUGAGAAUGGAGGAGAGGGGACGCGAGGAGAGGAGAGGCGCCGAGCGGAGCAAGAGGAGUACGCAGCAGAGUGAGGCAGCGAGCUGCGUG